rnacentral:lncRNA from 1 species
UUUAUACACCGACGGAUUGUUCUAUGCCGACAGAUCAUCUAACAGUGCGCUAUACCGAUAGAUUGUAUGACAUACAUUGCUACGCCGACAGUUUGUGUGUAAGUGCCCUAAGCCGACAGUUUGUGCGACGCCCAAUACUUCUGCCAACAGAUUUGCUGUCAACGCUCUACAUUUCAUGAGAAAUACAAAUGCUCCAUAUUGUGAGUGAAAACACAUUCAUAAUAUUCAACUCAUGUUCAAUACGAAAUACAUAUACAGACAAUUGCACUCUUCUAUUCAGCAAAAGAUACCAUUGAUCAAUGCAUUCAUUCGACAUAUAUAGAAGAUUCAUUAGUUUUCUUCACUGAAGUUAGCUACAGCCAUUAAGUAUACACAAGUCAGAUAUAAGUACCGAGAGAGGCACGUUAUUACAAGCAUAAUGGCCAAAGUUCCUAGGAGACAAAUGCUUGAUCACUUGACUACUACAGAAUAUUAUGGAAGACCAACUCUUCAAUCACCAAGCCAAAUCAACUUCCAUAUGAACAAAAUGUGUGAACCCUGUUUUCAACAAAAGAAAUCAGGAGAACAUCUUCGAUCAACUUGUGGACUUGCUACUUUCUACCAUUUGUCCCUACAAAAUAACUCAUAUGUUUCAGAAGAUGUACAAUACACACACACAUCAUGCAGCAUUACGAAAUAUCAUAUGAUGAAUUGAAACCAUUCAUAGUUGAACUAGCCUCGUACAUGAAAGACCACAAUAAAGAAAAAGGCUGGAGUCGAGUGGCAUCAAUCAAGCAGAAAACAAAGUUGAACUGUAUAUCAUGGGUUCAAAACAGCAGGGGCACCCUUGGUUCCAAAAUUACAGAAUCUCUGUCAUGCAACUACACAAGCAUGAACCUAGGAGCCCAGUCGAAUGCAGUGGCGGCAACCGAAGCCCGAAUGGACCUCAGCAUGGUAGUUUGGUUCACGACCAAGUACUCCCUGCGUUCCUAAAUAUAAGCCCUUUUAGAGAUUCCAAUAUGGACUGCAUAUGGAGCAAAAUGAGUGAAUCUACAUUCUAAAAUAUGUCUAUAUACAUCUAUAUGUCGUACGUAUUGAAAUAUCCAGAAAGGCUUAUAUGUAGGAACGGAGGGAGUAGAAUAGAAACUAUGCCAGAGUNNNNNNNNNNNNNNNNNNNNNNNNNNNNNNNNNNNNNNNNNNNNNNNNNNNNNNNNNNNNNNNNNNNNNNNNNNNNNNNNNNNNNNNNNNNNNNNNNNNNNNNNNNNNNNNNNNNNNNNNNNNNNNNNNNNNNNNNNNNNNNNNNNNNNNNNNNNNNNNNNNNNNNNNNNNNNNNNNNNNNNNNNNNNNNNNNNNNNNNNNNNNNNNNNNNNNNNNNNNNNNNNNNNNNNNNNNNNNNNNNNNNNNNCAGGGUCGUCGACUUGGGGUUGGGGUCCCAGUUAUCCUCCUCGCCCACGGAGCCGUGUGCCUACCAAAUCAAGAAGGAAAAUAAAUACCAUAUUAUUCCAAGGUCAAACAUACAAUCAAGUGGCAAAAGAAAGAAAGAUCACAUGACGAUUAUCAGCAAAAGAAUAACUUAUUUAUAAAAACCCCUCCAUUAAUUCAAUCUAGUCUAGUGUCAACCAAGUAGCAACUAGAUCAUGGUUUAGUAUUUUUUUUAUCCUGGACCGAACUGGUAGAUUUGAUGAACAAUGCCUGAAUAAGAAAACUACUACUACAAUCAAUAUAUAUCGGCAAUGGUGGUCUCAUAUAUAGUAGCACAUUACGCGAAAAGAUGAUAUGAAAAACCUCAAAUGAGCAACCAACAAAGCUUCAUUUAGUUGGAGGGCUUAGAACACGGGCAUCAGAGAAGAAAGAUAAAUAUACCCACUUGUUGAUAUAUAAGCAAGCAACAUCACAUGGUCUGCAAGCGUCAAAAGGGCAGCCCGGUGCAUGUAACUCCACUUGCGCAGGGUCCGGGGAAGGGUCCGACCGCUUUGGGUCUAUUGUACGCAGCCUUUCCCUACAUUUCUACAAGAGGCUCUUUCCAGGACUUGAACACGUGACCUCAUGGUCACAAGUCUGCAAGCGUCAAAGUAAAGAGUAAUUUCUAUUGUACCAGAUUAGAUUGCUUACUCAAUAAAUAAACCUGAAAUUCAAUCUAUAAGCAAGCAACAUUGAUAUCAUUCAAUAAAAACCUCAGAGGAGCAACCAGCAAAAAUGAUGCAUUCAGUUUAUAUAUCAAUGUAAACAGGACAAACAAUGCAUAAACGAUGAAAACAAAAGCAAGAAAGAAUAAUUGAUGUUGUUGUGGCUUGCAUCGGACUCCAUUUUCGGUUGCGACAGCGAUUAGAACAUCUCUGUCAAAGAGGGAUCACAAGCCCAGAACAAAACAAGAUAACUGCAUUUACGCACAAUUCCUAGUUCCCUACUAAACAACAAUAGCAACAUAGUCAGGCCGCUUGCAUCGGACCAUAAACUGGCCAGAAUUAAUGCGAUGAUACAGAAAGGCCAGAGGGAGGAAAGUUGUUGUUUAUUACCACCAUUGACUGUUGUUACUAUUUUAGUUGAUCAAAAGGGUGACUUGGUUGCUUCCUAAUCCUGAUACUGAUCCAAUUCCAACCGACCUCCUGCCUAGAGCUGGGCUAGAGGGAUUCCAACUCUACCUACAAACCAGGCAUAUUAAUUGGUAAUAUAUAUUUGAAAAAACAUGUAUAUAUCUAAUUCACAUGUAUGUGCUUCAAAACUAAUGAUGCAUAUAGUACCACAAGCCAUUUUCAAUUAGUACAAGGGUUACCCAGCAGCAACGAUAUAGAAAAAACCAUGAAAGUUGUUUACCUUCAGACCAAACAGCGCCAAGUAUUGCUUCUCAUGUCCUUAAUACUACUUCCCAGGCUGAUCAUGCCUAGGCAGCAGAGCGGUCCACCCAUCAGCGUCAGAGACAGGCUUCGAGGACCUCGGCUAACCCUGCUUCAUCCUCGAGCAUCAAUGGCUCAUCACCGUCAUCAUCAUCGAAAUAUAAAUCAUCGUCAUUAGCAACCAUCUGCUCUCAAAAAGGAAAUCAUUCAAUUAAAAGAGAGUCAUCUCCUGAAUCUUAAUUGUAACCAAGAUCCAACCAGCAGAAUGGUGGCAUGCCACAGGAUGCCAAAAAUUGUUAGUUCAACAAGGAGAAUAUAUCAAGGGAAAAUCUAAAAAGAAGAAACAAGGCUUGCUGCUGGCCUAUCCGCAAAGUACCUGGGAUAGAUAUAUGCUAGCAGCUAGCAUUCUUGCUGGAAUAAUAUUCACAUGUAUGUGCUUGCAAACUAAACCAUACAUUUUCCACUAGUUGCCGUGAUUAAGGCUCGGGAUUUGAUACUAUUUGCAUAAUUAGGGUGCUGCUAUACACAUAUAAAUAUAGAAACCAAAUACUCAAUGUUCUUCCAUAAACCAGAUUUACUAUCACCACAUUGUGCCCUUACUUAUGAUACUUUUCGAUAGAAACUAGGUAUUAUGACAGUCUAAUGCAUCCAAUGUUCAUAAUGACAUUACAAAUUGUACCAUUAAGCAGCUUAGGAGGACCAUCCUCUGUUCCUGUAACAGAACCGAUGUAAAUUCUUCACUUGCCCCCACCACCUACAUAUAAAGAUUGAUUGUUAGUACAUUAUUACUGAAAAAUGCUUCUCUUUGAUAGACGCAUCACUACAUGUGUACAUAAUUAGGACAUACAGAUCACAUUUGUGACUUCAUAGGCCCACACAUAAUCUGAUUUAGCCACAAGGCUUUGAAGCUGGCACCCGUGCAAUAAGAAAUAAAUAAAUGAAAAAUAAAAUAUGCCACUCACAACGAGAAAAGUAAUUACAAUUCUAACAGACUCAUCCCUCUCCUUUGUACUGCCUCUGCCAGGAAAUUGUUACAUGCUACAAAUUUGUGGAUGAAGCACGCACAAGAAAAACAAUAGAUUUACUUACCCAGAGGCCAGCCGAUUCAUGGCCGGAUCUAGUUAGUUACCUACACGUACUAGAAAAGCAUUGACCCAGCUCACCUAGAGCGACCGAAUCUGGAGGUGGGGCAAGGAAGGGGCGACGAGAAAGGACUCACAUACCAGAAGCUUACCUCAGGCCGGGCAGAGGGAAGGAAAUCAGCCGGAACAGAGGCCACAGGUGGAGGAAAACCAGCGCUGGAUCCUCGGCGGCCGACGGCCUUGCUUCUCCUUACUGGUGGACGGUUCUGCUGCUCCUGUCUGGUGGCGCUUGACGGCGCUGCUGCUCCUGUACGGUGGCGCUUGACAGCGCUGCUACUCCUCAGCGCAGCGGAUGGAGCUGCUGCUCCUGGGCGGAUGGUGCCCUACGGGGAGGAAGGUCAGGGUUGGAGUUGAUGUGGCGCGAGGGAACAAGCGGACGGGCGGCGGCGCGGUCGAGUUAGGUUUAGGUCGGAGGCGGCGGCGCACGGGUUCUAUGUGAGUGGUGAGAGAGAGAAGGGUGAGAUUGGGGGUUGGACGGGUGUGUUUUUUCUUUUCUUUUGCUGGUCUGGUCCGACUCGGGUGUUUUCCAUCGCGCGCAUAUCUCUACUACUAUUAAACAAGCAAACAUAUCUUUCCCUCCCUUUUUUUUACUAAUAAAGCAAAUAGUGUUUCUGGUCGUCCGUCAUUAAAAGUGCCCUUGAAGUUGUAAAUAAUUACCCACCAUGCCAUUGGUAAGUGGAAAAAACGGUUCGGUUUACCCUUUUCUAAAAUCCGCGACCUACUCAAGUUAUUAAAGUGAAGCCCCUGUAAUCAACAACUUGCAUGUGUGUGGCGCAGUGGUGUGAGGCUCGCCUGUUUACCUGGGAGACCCAGGUUCGAGUCCCCUUGCUCCCUUUUUCCUCCUUUUAUUUUUCUCUCCUAUUAAUGUUGGUAGGCGUAGGAUAUUACUACUCGCUCCAGCGUCACUUAGCAGAUGGGCAGCACAAUGUACCAGUUACUCUAUUUUUUGGACAUAUUCAUAUAUUUCAAAAAAAAAUCAUAACUUUCAAACCCUAACUCCAAAUCUAACAUGUUAUGUAUAGAAAUCCCUUAAAAAGAUGUGUAGAUUUCAAAUAUGGUAUUAUAUUAAUCACUUUCAAUGUCAAAAAAACUCAUAACUUUCAAACCCUAACUUCAAAUCUAGCAUGUUAUAUAUAGAAAUCCCUUAAAAAGAUGUGUAGAUUUCAAAUAUGGUACUAUAUUAAUCACUUUCAAAUCCUAACGCCAAAUCUAACAUGUUAUAUAUGGAAAUCCCUUUAAAAAGAUGUGUAGAUUUCAAAUAUGCUAUUGUAUUAAUCAUCAUUCCUAAAAUUCCAUUUAUGAUGCAACCUUUAUUAAUAUCUUCUUUAUAUGGGGUAUUUUGAAAAUCCCGGCUUAACGUUGAUAUUUCUGUAGUCUAAUAAAUUGGAAACAUGUUGAAUACAUUUCACAAAUAAUACAACCUUAUGAACUUACACCACUUAUCAUGUUGUUUCUCGUGGGGCAUUGUGAAAGAUUUGAAGGGAUUCGCCGAUGCUCUCAGGUGUGCAUAUGAGGGAUGAUUUUUUUCCGUUGCAACACACUGGAAAUAAUGCCUUUCCAUGGAAUCUGAAGCAUGCAUGGUUAAAAAAGAAAUUCCGAAUCAUACACCUGAUUUCAUGAAAAUUAUUGUGACCUCUUCAAAUAGAAAAUUCGUUUUAGUGUGGUAUGUGCAAAUCUGUUUAUUAUGUUUCCUUCUAUAUAAAAGAAAAUUGAGUUGUACUUUAGACUUUAUAGGUCUCCGUGCAUGUAAGUUUAGAAGAAAUUUGGUAACGAAAAUCAGUAAUGGGCAUCUGGUAACUUACCAAUUAAACCCUAAUUUCUUAUAUAUGUACAUACAUGUACGAUCCUCAUGAUUUAGGCUCUCAAUGAUAAAUCAAAUGAUGAAGGUAAUGACUCAUUAUACUACAAAUUAACUAGGAAGGUAAUUUAGAUAUUUAAAUUAAUCAAUUCUUUCAGGAUUGAAGUGUAGCAUCUCAUACAUGCAUUUUAAGAUCAUUGGUAAAAUAUACAUUACAUGGCUGAUGCAAUAGAAUGUUAUCUUGGGUCAUUGGGCUAGGGAGGUGUGUUUUGAUUCUCCCGGUGCAACGCACGGGCAUAUUUACUAGUUCUUCUCUAAACACAUUCAAAAACACGUACACGAAACAACCAAGAUAAAAUACCACCUCACGAUUCGAUCCAUCUAAUUAGAUCUAACCGUUAAUAACCCUCAUCUGUGUACGUUUAGCAAUUUAGAGAAGCGGACGAAACUCUGCCAUCUAUUCGUCGAGAGGACGAAACGUUCCGCUGCGAGCAAAAAUUUAACUGAUUCGCGUGAUUAAAGGCCUGCAUGCAGCGGCAUGGCCCACGUUCAGCAUUAUGGCGUUCGCAUGCAUUUGUUCGGCCUGCCGAGGCGCAUCUUCAGGAGAGGGGGGAGAAUGAGAGGCCUGGCGGCGGCACAGGGCGUGCUCGCCGGCGAGCGUGCUCCCGCAUCUGCCUGGCGCACGGGGUUGGAUCGGGCGCUAGGGUUGCCCUGCCGCCGCCCAUAGCAGUCAGGGGUUGACGGGGAGAAGCAGUCGGAAGGCGACGGAGGCGGCGGUGGCUCGAUUACAUCUAUGCGACGAUGACGGCUCGGCAGCGGCGAGUGGCCGAUUCAUCUCCUCGCUAGCCCCUCGCCCUUUAAAGGUUAAAGAUCUGGCACCCUCUUCCCCCGGACGCCCAGAACGAGCGGCGGAUCCAGAAAACCAGUUCGUCAAGAUACGCGCAUACACAAGAAGUAGACAUGCAAACAGCUGGAUGGAUUUUUCUUACAGGAGCGCACACACACAUAUGGAAAAGGCAAGCCGCCGGUGAAGACAGCUUCAGCCUCACCACCAAGGACGGAAUCACGGAAAGGUCAGCUUCAUCCGAACCAACCGCGAGGACCAUGCUAAGGUACAUACAUACAUAUACCAAGAUCGAUAUUGACCGAUGCUUGUGGUUGCAAUUUCAUGUCCAUCACUGAUGUAUUGGUGCUCAUGGUGAGAUAUGGGAUAAUAAGUGGAAACUUUUCACCGCUCAGUUCUUACCGAAUGAAUCUUUGUAAGUAAUCUUUUUUCCCUACCCCCUCUUAUAUUUACAGGAAAUUCAAGUGUGGUACACAUAUGAGUAUGCUUUGCUUCCCUCUGUUGUACACAUGUGGUUAUUUGUUAUCUCUGAUUAAGAGAAUCAAGGGCCACUACAUUCUUGAAUAUUGAGACUGUGUUAGUUGGUUUAGGUUAAACUUGAUACAUGCUAUUUACUUUUUCUUCAUCUGACAAUUCAGUUGUACUAUUGAUUUUGACAAUUUUCAGGAAUUUUAAGCCGUCUUUGGAUUUUAGCUUCCUCAAUCAUUCUGAAUUAUUUAAUGUUAGUAUGAGGUACAUGUGUUCCCAAGAUUAAACUUGAGAAAUGUGUAGUUGACCACUUGGGUACGUUUGAUUUCUUUAGUAGAUGCAGCGACAACCACCAUUGUCCAUGAUCUAUACUAAAGAUAAUUAUUAGCAGUGCAACAUCUCUGUUGGUUCAAUCAAAUAGUUCAGCCUGGUCGGUUCUUACUAAUAUUUAAGCCACCUUCAAUUUUUAGCCUGCUCGGUCAUUUUGGAGUAGUUUCAGUUUUGGGUGCAUGUCUUUAAUAGAACAACAAACUUAUUUUAGGUGCUAAAAUAAACACUAAACACCAAUUCCUGAUGGCGACUAUUUUUAGAAAGACCAUCCGGCUGGAGGAGAUCCUUACUAUCGAUGUCAAGCCGGGGUGGAAGAAGGGCACGAAGAUCACCUUCCUAGAUGGAAGGAUCCGGUUUUUUCGGUGCAGUUCUGUGUUUUAAAAAGUUAUUGCGAUGUAAUUUUUUUAUUAACACUACAGUCCAUGAAGUUAUAUUUACGGAUAUUUCAUUUUUCGCAUAAGAUGAAGCACCAUUUUAUUUUUAAAUAUUUUUUGAAGUAAAAUUUGUGAAUAAACGGAAUGAUGUUUCAGAGGAUUUGAAUGGUUGUGACUUGUGGGGUCGCCUGGGGAGGCGACUGCGGCAGGGAGCAGCGGCACAUCGGCGGACAACAACACAUGUGUAGCGUGCAGCGGCAGCGGUUGCACGGCCACGACGGAAGAGCAACAACACGAAUGAGGUGCAGGUGGGGGUAAGAGUAAGUAUCACUUGUCAUGUUUAACUCAUGGCAACAAAGAGUAAGGAUCACUUCACACUCACUACAGGAAAAAUACUGCUGUGACGAUUAUAUACAUAUAUGUUCCACUUGGUCGCUCAGUUAGUAUUAAUUUCCUAUCUAUUCCUUUUUCUUGCAGACACGUUUUGAAACUAGACUUUGAUGGGAAGUUCAUCCGUAUAUGGGAAUUAUACCUUUAUAUGCCUCUGGUUUCACAUCAUGAGCAGUUAGAAAUUACCAUGUAUGGACGCAUGUAUGUGUGCUCUUUGUGUAGGUUUACCUGCAUUAUUCCUAGACAAAUGGAAGUCAUAUACUCCCUCUGUCCUUCGAAAAACAUCUUGCUGGAAAUUGUUUGAUGGUUUCCAAUGCAGACUAAAAUUUGAGCUGAUGUUGCCUUUUGCAAUUAUGUUAAUCUCAGCCGUAAGAUUGAAAGAUCAGCAGACAUUAGAUCUUUGAGUAAAAAGUAGUAACUUGGAACCUUUGGUGAACGGUAGAAAGUGAGCUUUCGUUGUUUGAGAUUGUAAAUAACAUGGGAUGGAGACUUGACCCCCACAUAAUUAUUUUACACUGACCUAUUGAACCAUGAAACAACAUUGCUGAACUUCAACAUUUCGGUAAAACAUCACAUGGAAAAUUGGCUACAACCAACCAGAUUGUUAAAUCCUCAUGUAUUUUAUACUGAACUCAAGAAGUGUGAAUAAGCAAGAAAGCUUUUGAAGAGAUCAGUGUAUCGUCGCAACUGCUACUACGAUUGGCUCCUUUCCAAGCACUGGUAAGAUCUUUCAACAGAUCUUAGCGACAUCUCUCUCUUCUUAAAUUUGCCAGGAUUUUAUGUAGUUGCUUUUCUUCUAAUAAGGUGCAUCCUGCUUGCUGUUGAAUUGUGCAGAAAGGCUACAUUGUAUUAAUUUCUUUUUCGCAUAGUUGAUACAAUUCAACACAUUUUGUAUCAACUGAUAACUUUGAAUCUUUGCGUCUUUCAUCGGAUCGUGCUUUGAAUUUGCACAUGAAUAACUAAAAGCACCAUGACAUUACGCAUUUCCUUCAUUUUAGCCAUUAAACUUACUUAUGUAUCCGGUGUUAAUUUAUCAUUUCUUGUAUAUUCAUCUUAGUUAGGAAGGGUGGCUUCAGUCAUCCUAAAUUUUGUGUGGGUUCUUUUUUCAGCCGUGGCUAGCUUUGCAAAACAAUAAUUAUUAUAAUCCUUGAUCUGCACAUGCCCAAUUUCCUUAUACCGUAUAGUGUCUCAUUCUAGAAUAGUAGCCUUUCUGCUCUGUUAAGAUGUUGAAGCACGGCGACAUUUUUAACUCAUGUUUAAUAUUGACAGAACUAAGCAUUAGGUAGUUGCUUGCAUGCCAUUCAUGUCAUAGAGAAAAUGCUAAAUUUCCUCUCUCCAAUUCCUUAUCAUGAACCUAACGCUUUAUUGAUCUGUUUUUAGCUUCUAGAUGUUCUGAAACUAUAUACACAAUAGAUACUGUUUGUCUGAACUGUAGUUCCACUCCAUGAAAAGCUGAGAUAAACUAAGAAUGGGGUAAAAAAAAUCCGACUCUUCCUGCUCACUGGCGGUGCCCGCUAUGGCAUGGGUGGCUUUACCGCAGCCGCCGAGCCUUCAAAUUCUGAAGAUAACAAGCAGCUCGAAUCCAAGAAGAAAACUAAUUUAGUUCAGCCAACACUCCUAUUUUUUGUGCAUCUUUGUUCCAACUUUGCAUUGACGCCAUGUCCACUUGGACAAUGUUCAUAUGUUACUUUGAUUUUUGCCCAAGAAAAUAAACAUUCUGAAAUCUUUGUAGGAAUAGACUAAAUACGCUACGCCCUUACAUUCUUUGUGGAGAAGUUCUUCAGCCAAUCUAUUGCCAUUGAUUUCUGUCAUCCUAAAGUUUGAAUUCAAAAUUUUAUACCCGCAAAAUUUGAUAUGGUUUGAUUGAGAUGUGCGACGUGCGUUGCACGUACACACUUACUUUUCGAUAGAAACUAGGUAUUAUGACAGUCUAAUGCAUCCAAUGUUCAUAAUGACAUUACAAAUUGUACCAUUAAGCAGCUUAGGAGGACCAUCCUCUGUUCCUGUAACAGAACCGAUGUAAAUUCUUCACUUGCCCCACCACCUACAUAUAAAGAUUGAUUGUUAGUACAUUAUUACUGAAAAAUGCUUCUCUUUGAUAGACGCAUCACUACAUGUGUACAUAAUUAGGACAUACAGAUCACAUCUGUGACUUCAUAGGCCCACACAUAAUCUGAUUUAGCCACAAGGCUUUGAAGCUGGCACCCGUGCAAUAAGAUAUAAAUAAAUGAAAAAUAAAAUAUGCCACUCACAACGGGAAAAGUAAUUACAAUUCUAACAGACUCAUCCCUCUCCUUUGUACUGCCUCUGCCAGGAAAUUGUUACAUGCUACAAAUUUGUGGAUGAAGCACGCACAAGAAAAACAAUAGAUUUACUUACCCAGAGGCCAGCCGAUUCAUGGCUGGAUCUAGUUAGUUACCUACACGUACUAGAAAAGCAUUGACCGAGCUCAC